UACGUAGGGGGCAAGCGUUGUCCGGAAUCAUUGGGCGUAAAGCGCGUGUAGGCGGUCCGGUAAGUCCGCUGUGAAAGUCGGGGGCUCAACCCUCGGAUGCCGGUGGAUACUGUCGGGCUUGAGUACGUAAGAGGCGAGUGGAAUUCCUGGUGUAGCGGUGAAAUGCGCAGAUAUCAGGAGGAACACCAAUUGCGAAGGCAGCUCGCUGGGACGUUACUGACGCUGAGACGCGAAAGCGUGGGGAGCAAACAGG
rnacentral:rRNA from 1 species